CGAACGCUGGCGGCAGGCCUAAUACACGCAAGUCGAACGGCUCUUCGGAGCAGUGGCGGACGGGUGAGUAACGCGUGGGAAUGUGCCCUUUGGUACGGAACAACACAGGGAAACUUGUGCUAAUACCGUAUGUGCCCUUCGGGGGAAAGAUUUAUCGCCAUUGGAGCAGCCCGCGUUGGAUUAGGUAGUUGGUGAGGUAAAGGCUCACCAAGCCGACGAUCCAUAGCUGGUCUGAGAGGAUGAUCAGCCACACUGGGACUGAGACACGGCCCAGACUCCUACGGGAGGCAGCAGUAGGGAAUCUUGCGCAAUGGGCGAAAGCCUGACGCAGCCAUGCCGCGUGUAUGAUGAAGGUCUUAGGAUUGUAAAAUACUUUCACCGGGGAAGAUAAUGACGGUACCCGGAGAAGAAGCCCCGGCUAACUUCGUGCCAGCCGCCGCCGUAACAC
rnacentral:rRNA from 1 species